rnacentral:rRNA from 1 species
AGAGUUUGAUCAUGGCUCAGGAUGAACGCUAGCUACAGGCUUAACACAUGCAAGUCGAGGGGCAGCAUGUUGGUUGCUUGCAACCAACGAUGGCGACCGGCGCACGGGUGAGUAACGCGUAUCCAACCUACCCUUGUCCAUCGGAUAACCCGUCGAAAGGCGGCCUAACACGAUAUGCGGUUCACGGCAGGCAUCUAAGGUGAACGAAAUGUGAAGGAGAAGGAUGGGGAUGCGUCUGAUUAGCUUGUUGGCGGGGUAACGGCCACAAGGCUACGAUCGAGUAGGGGUUCUGAGAGGAAGGUCCCCCANAUUGGAACUGAGACACGGUCCAAACUCCUACGGGAGGCA